rnacentral:rRNA from 1 species
UGAAGCUGGAAUCGCUAGUAAUCGCGAAUCAGCAUGUCGCGGUGAAUACGUUCCCGGGUCUUGUACACACCGCCCGUCACACCAUGGGAGUCAGUAACGCCCGAAGCCGGUGACCCAACCUAAACAGGAGGGAGCCGUCGAAGGCGGGACGGAUGACUGGGGUGAAGUCGUAACAAGGUAAC